AUCUAUUUCUGUCGAGUAAUAACAAUGUCCACAGGCUGAAUGGACGCUGUGACCUGUGAAAGAACUAUUCAGACGCUUUAGUCUGCCCUAGCGCAUUCUUUAACAAGUGAACAUAGACCUUUUUCACAGUCAUCUUAAAUGUUUCAACUGUGUGUUUCAAUGUUUGGUUCUUGCAUCUACAGCCAUAUAGCUUUUCUGCCUCUUUUGGGGAAGACUUCCUUGCUCUACUCAUUUAAAUGCUUCUGCCUUUAUGACUAUUUUAUUGCCAUACCUAUGGGGCUUCUUACUGUAUUUGCCUGUAACCGAAGGAGAUUUUAAAGGAAUUAAAUUUAUUCAGACUAAAUCUUCUGGGGCAUGCAAAGGCAUCUUAAACAAUUAGCAAUAAUUAAAAAGCAUCUAUUCAGACUGGAUAAAAGGUUGUAUUCCUCUCCCGGCUGGCACGGACGAUUGUGGUGCACGCUUCCUGCCAUCCUGCUCUGUGGUCCGCUGCUUGCGCUCACUUCCGUCCCUCACCUGACUCACGUCAGACAGACCGUCAAGAUGCAGCAGGGCUGCCGGGAGAACUUCCGGCUGUGCCCAAAUGUAAAGAAAUCAUGUGACAUAGAAGAAAGACUCAAGCCAAAGUGGAAAUCCUGGUUUGCCAUUUAUUGA
rnacentral:lncRNA from 1 species